rnacentral:rRNA from 1 species
GACGAACGCUGGCGGCGUGCUUAACACAUGCAAGUCGAACGGAAAGGCCCUGCGUUUGUGGGGUGCUCGAGUGGCGAACGGGUGAGUAACACGUGAGUAACCUGCCCUUGACUUUGGGAUAACUUCAGGAAACUGGGGCUAAUACCGGAUAUGAGCUCCUGCUGCAUGGUGGUGGUUGGAAAGUUUCGGCGGUUGGGGAUGGACUCGCGGUUUAUCAGCUUGUUGGUGGGGUAGUGGCUUGCCAAGGCUUUGACGGGUAGCAGGCCUGAGAGGGGGACCGGCCACAUUGCGACAGAGAUACGGCCCAGACUCCUACGGGAGGCAGCAGUGGGGAAGAUUGCACAAUGGGCGGAAGCCUGAUGCAGCAACGCCGCGUGCGGGAUUACGGCCUUCGGGUUGUAAACCGCUUUCGCCUGUGACGAAGCGUGAGUGACGGUAAUGGGUAAAGAAGCACCGGCUAACUACGUG